rnacentral:rRNA from 1 species
GUUUCAGCCGCCGCGGUAAUACGGAGGGUGCAAGCGUUGUCCGGAUUUAUUGGGUUUAAAGGGUGCGUAGACGGCUUAUUAAGUCAGUGGUGAAAGACGGCAGCUUAACUGUCGCAGUGCCAUUGAUACUGGGAAGCUUGAGUAUAGUUGAGGUAGGCGGAAUUUAUGGUGUAGCGGUGAAAUGCAUAGAUACCAUAAAGAACACCGAUAGCGAAGGCAGCUUACUAAACUAUAACUGACGUUGAGGCACGAAAGCAUGGGGAUCGAACAGGAUUAGAAACCCUCGUAGUCC